UGAGGCACGGAGAGAAGAAGCGGCUUGAUCCAGGAGCCACAACAAGUCACUGCUAGAGGCUGGGCUGUGAAGGGGUCCAAGGUCAAGUGACAGAGACCCACCAUGGACAUACCAGAGAUACCAGUUGCCAUGGAAUGGCUGACCUGCACAAAAGAAUCAUCGUGUUGAAAUCACACCCUCAGAUGGCUACUAUGAGUCAGCCCUCAAUUUAAAG